rnacentral:lncRNA from 1 species
AAAUGGGGUCUAUUCAUCAGUCAAAACGUUAAUCUUGAAGGAGCAAAAGUUUGUUCAUGAGCUGUCAUGCUCGCUAGGCGAGCAGAAUGGGUCGCCUAGUGAGUCCCAAGAAAAGCCACCAGAAUCACCUACGCUCAGAGGAAUUUCUUGAACUGUCAUGCUCGCUAGGCGAAGCCCACGCGUUUUGAAAAUAAAAAUAAAUAAAA